CCUCUGGGUAGCUCAGUUGGUAGAGCGGUGGACUGUAGAUCCAUAGGUCGCUGGUUCAAAUCCGGCCCAGAGGA
rnacentral:tRNA from 1 species